UAUGUACUCCCUCCAUUCCGAAUUACUUGUCUCACGUAUGGAUGUAUCUAGAUGUAUUUUAGUUCUAGAUACAUCCAUUUCAGCGACGAGUAAUUUGGAACGGAGGGAGUAUAUA
rnacentral:pre_miRNA from 1 species